rnacentral:rRNA from 1 species
GUGGAUUAGAUACCCUGGUAGUCCACGCCGUAAACGAUGAGUACUGGGUGUCGCGGGUAGUUGACCCCUGCGGUGCCGUAGCUAACGCGUUAAGUACUCCGCCUGGGGAUUACGGUCGCAAGAUUAAAACUCAAAGGAAUUGACGGGGGCCCGCACAAGCGGUGGAGCAUGUGGUUUAAUUCGACGCAACGCGAAGAACCUUACCUGGGCUAGACAACGGUGGACCGCUCCAGAGAUGGAGCUUUCCUUUCGGGGACUGCCGGUUCAGGUGCUGCAUGGCUGUCGUCAGCU